CAAACCACAUAAACUUUACGAAGAAGUUGGAAUGGAAACUCUUUGCCAGAAUAAGGGUCUCUAAGAAAUCCUUCUCUAGUCCCAUUAGCUUCGUUCCAACUUAUGAGGCUCUGGAUACCAUAAACUCGACCGUUCGGGAAAGCAACAGGACAAUUGUCGCUGUCAAGUCCUUCGCCUGUCAGAGAAUCCACUAUCGCAGACUGAGUAAUAUGGGCAUAAGGAAGAGCUUUGCCAAGGUCAUUUAAGCAGGGCGUACAUACAGGGCAUUGUUUCACAGUCUGGGAUUGUAAUGCUAAAGGAUUAUCAUCAUUCGCGUCAAGAUAACACAACGGGGUUUUCAGGGAAGAUAGACCAGCAGCUAACAAUGCAUGUAAAAGAGGUACAGACGGUAUAUUAUGAACGGCAGUAAAAUUGCUGGUAAACAAGGAAGCCAAAUAUUCCCAUCGGUCAUCGGAUAGAAGCAACUAAUUUGUCAGUAUAAGCUAAGAGCAGAGGUCUCUCAAUGUAAACUUACCGAAUAUGGUGAACCAUUCGUAAAUUCAGGAAAAGCUAGUAGGGCAGCCGCUAGCUGUAGUCGAGCAGGAUGUUCAUUUGCCCAAGUACCGAAGUGCGCUUUGGCGAAUGCAAUGGCUUGGCAAAGUUUUUUACUUUUUAUUAAUUCUAUAAAUCUCUGUAGUCGGACCUCAAGCUCUAAUGUACUAUUAUUUUUUUUUAAAAUUGCUCGAUGCUCCGAACACCAAGACAAAACCUCUUUGAGCUCCUGUUGAAGAAUGGAAUCGUGAAUGAGCUGAUAACGCUUAUAUAUGCCUAAAUCAACCAAAUUCUCCAACUGAGAGUCUUUACAAAGUAGAGCAGCUGCCCCAUGGUACCCAUUCGCCAUCAUAUAAUCAGCAACUAAACGAUUCAGUCUGACUCUUGACCAAUCUAAAAAAUCCGCAGAUUCCAUGUCACGAAUUCCUUGAAGACGAUUCAUGAACAACAGUCGUGACUUAGUUUGCUUGAUAAACAGAGCUUCACAAUCAUGCAAAUGCUUCAUCUACACAAAGAACCAUGUAAGUUACAAAUAUCCAACUCAAAAAAAGAAUCAAUCAAACUUACCUUCUUCUUUACAGUACUGACUCUUGAAAGGAGAGAAUCUAUUUUUUCUAUUUUUUCAUCCAUUGAUGCAUUCUCUUGACUGAUCAACGUUGUCAAUGUGGAAUUGAUCACAUGCGAUUCAUGCUCCAAGUGCCGCAAAAUGUGUU